rnacentral:rRNA from 1 species
GACGUAGGGUGCGAGCGUUGUCCGGAUUUAUUGGGCGUAAAGAGCUCGUAGGCGGCUCGUCGCGUCGAACGUGAAAACCUGAGGCUUAACCUUGGGCCUGCGUUCGAUACGGGCGGGCUAGAGUUCGGUAGGGGAGACUGGAAUUCCUGGUGUAGCGGUGAAAUGCGCAGAUAUCAGGAGGAAUACCGAUGGCGAAGGCAGGUCUCUGGGCUGACACUGACGCUCAUGCACGAAAGCGUGGGGAGCAAACAGG